rnacentral:rRNA from 1 species
AGCGUCCAAGGUGGAUGCUUAGGCGUUGAGAGCCGAUGAAAGACGUGGCAUAGCUGCGAUAAGCCUCGGGGAGCCGUUAAGCAGGCUUUAAUCCGGGGAUUUCUUAGAUGCGGUAACGCGGCCUGGGUAAUACCAGGUCAACCCACGGUGAAUACAUAGCCGUGUGGUGGGUAACGAGGGGAAUUGAAACAUCUUAGUACCCUCAGGAAAGUAAAGAAAAAUCGACUCCCUUAGUAGCGGCGAGCGAAAGGGGAACAGCCCAAACCAUCGAUGUGCCAAGGUUGUGGCCGUUGCAUCGGUGGCGUCGUGGGACUUCCAGACGUGACCACAGAAGCGUCAAGGAGUUACAAAUCCAACAUUUAGCCAAAGGUUCUGGAAAGGACCGCCGCAGAGAGUGAAAGCCUCGUAGGCGAAAGGUGUUGGACUCCUGGAAGGAUCCCAAGUAGCGCCAGACACGUGAAACCUGGUGUGAAUCUAGGGGGACCACCCCCUAAGGCUAAGUACUACUCAACGACCGAUAGCGACAGUAGCGUGAGCGAAAAGUGAAAAGUUCCCCUGUAAGGGGAGUGAAAAGUACCUGAAACCAUGGACGUACAAGCGGUCGGAGGCCUAUGCCCUUUUGGGAAUGGCUGACGGCGUGCCUUUUGCAUAAUGACCCGACGACUUACGGUACAAGGCGAGGUUAAGGACUUCCGGUCCGAAGCCGAAGCGAAAGCGAGUGCGAAUAGCGCGUCUAGUCUGGUGCCGUAGACCCGAAAGCAGGUGAUCUAGCCAUGAGCAGGGUGAAGCGCGUGUAACAACGCGUGGAGGCCCGAACCGGUGUAGGUUGAAAACUACUCGGAUGACUUGUGGCUAGGAGUAAAAAGCUAAUCGAACCUGCAGAUAGCUGGUUCUCCCCGAAAUAGCUUUCGGGCUAGCGUCUGGUAAAAUAGCACACGGGGGUAGAGAUACUGAAUGCGACUGGGGGGCUACCCGCCUACCCACCGCAACCAAACUCCGAAUACCGUGUGUGGUACCCAGGCAGUCAGACAGUGGGCGAUAAGGUUCAUUGUCGAGAGGGAAACAGCCCAGAUCGCCAGCUAAGGUCCCCAAGCAAGUUUAAGUGUUGUAAAGGAACUGAAAUCACAAAGACAGCCAGGAUGUUGGCUUAGAAGCAGCCAUCAUUUAAAGAGUGCGUAAUAGCUCACUGGUCGAGUGGUUUUGGGCCGAUAAUGAACGGGACUCAAAUCUUGCACCGAAGCUGCGACUGCAUGAAACAUGUGUUUCGUGCGGGGUAGGGGAGCGUUGGUUUUGCUUUGAAGCCGUACGGUAACGAGCGGUGGAGCGGAACCAAGUGCUUAUGUCGGGAUGAGUAACGAUAAACAGGGUGAGAAUCCCUGUCGCCGAAAACCUAAGGUUUCCUGGGCAAGGUAAAUCCGCCCAGGGUUAGUCGGAUCCUAAGGCGAGGCCGAAAGGCGUAGUCGAUGGGUAACAGGUCAACAUUCCUGUACUGCCGGCGAACGUUUGACCGAUGGGGUGACGGAUUCUUGAAAGUAGUCGCGGUGUUAGUUAUCCGCGUACAAGCCUGAGGGACGCUGUUGGUAAAUCCGCAGCAUCAGUUCCCAGGGGUGAUGUCGAGGCCUUGAGCCGAAGCUACUGGAAAGGGUUCCUGGAAAAACCUCUAGGGAGUUCAAUGGUAUCCGUACCAAAACUGACACAGGUUGGUGAGGAGAGAAUCCUAAGGCGCUCGAGAUAACCUCUGUUAAGGAACUCGACAGAUUGGUCCCGUAAGUUCGCGAGAAGGGACGCCCCUAUUGGUGAAGGCACUUGCUGCCGGAGCUUUUGGGGGUCACAGAAAAUCGGGAGUGGCGACUGUUUACCUAAAACACAGGACUCUGCUAAGCCCUAAAGGCGACGUAUAGAGUCUGACGCUUGCCCAAUGCCGGAAGGUUAAGAGGAGGUGUUAGCUUCGGCGAAGCUCCGAAUUGAAGCCCCGGUGAAUGGCGGCCGUAACUAUGACGGUCCUAAGGUAGCGAAGUUCCUUGUCGGGUAAGUUCCGACGUGCACGAAUAGCGUAACGACUGCUCCAUUGUCUCAACAGAGGGCUCGGUGAAAUUGUAGUCGAGGUGAAGAUGCCUCGUAGCCGCACCAAGACGGAAAGACCCCGUGAACCUUUACUGUAGCCUGAUAUUGGGCCCUGGUGCAUCAUGUGUAGGAUAGGUGGGAGACUUUGAUUUAAGGACGCCAGUCCUUAAUGAGUCAUCCUUGAGAUACCACCCUUUGUAUUCUUGAUAUCUAACCACAUUCCAUGAAUCUGGAAUUGGG